rnacentral:rRNA from 1 species
AUGAACGCUGGCGGUAUGCUUAACCCAUGCAAGUCGAACGGACUCUUCGGAGUUAGUGGCGGACGGGUGAGUAACGCGUGAGAAUCUGGCUUUGGGUUCGGGACAACCACUGGAAACGGUGGCUAAUACCGGAUGUGCCGAGAGGUAAAAGAGAAAUUGCCUGAAGAUGAGCUCGCGUCUGAUUAGCUAGUUGGUGAGGUAAAGGCUCACCAAGGCAGCGAUCAGUAGCUGGUCUGAGAGGAUGACCAGCCACACUGGGACUGAGACACGGCCCAGACUCCUACGGGAGGCAGCAGUGGGGAAUUUUCCGCAAUGGGCGAAAGCCUGACGGAGCAAUACCGCGUGAGGGAAGAAGGCUCUUGGGUUGUAAACCUCUUUUCUUAGGGAAGAACAAAAUGACGGUACCUAAGGAAUCAGCAUCGGCUAACUCCGUG